CCUACGGGGGGCAGCAGUGGGGAAUAUUGCACAAUGGGGGAAACCCUGAUGCAGCGACGCCGCGUGAGUGAAGAAGUAUUUCGGUACGUAAAGCUCUAUCAGCAGGGAAGAAAAUGACGGUACCUGACUAAGAAGCCCCGGCCAACUACGUGCCAGCAGCCGCGGUAAUACGUAGGGGGCAAGCGUUAUCCGGAUUUACUGGGUGUAAAGGGAGCGUAGACGGCAGCGCAAGUCUGGAGUGAAAUCCCAUGGCUUAACCAUGGAACUGCCUUGGAAACUGUGCAGCUAGAGUGCAGGAGAGGUAAGCGGAAUUCCUGGUGUAGUGGUGAAAUGCGUAGAUAUUAGGAGGAACACCAGUGGCGAAGGCGGCUUACUGGACUGUAACUGACGUUGAGGCUCGAAAGCGUGGGGAGCAAACAGGAUUAGAUACCCGUGUAGUC
rnacentral:rRNA from 1 species